UACGGGGGGGGCGAGCGUUGUUCGGAAUUACUGGGCGUAAAGGGCCCGUAGGCGGCCAACUCAGUCAGACGUGAAAUCCCUCGGCUUAACCGGGGAACUGCGUCUGAUACUGGAUGGCUCGAGUCCGGGAGAGGGAUGCGGAAUUCCAGGUGUAGCGGUGAAAUGCGUAGAUAUCUGGAGGAACACCGGUGGCGAAGGCGGCAUCCUGGACCGGCACUGACGCUGAGGGGCGAAAGCCAGGGGAGCAAACGGG
rnacentral:rRNA from 1 species